AUGAUUACGGAGAAAUAUUUUUUAUUCUAUGGUUCCUUCUCUAUUAAGGACGGCUCGGAAAUUAUAUUCUGGGAGGACAAGUUGCUCGGAAAUGCCACACUCUGGGAACAAUAUCCGGCUCUAUACAACGUUGUGCGCCACAAGGGCGAUACUAUCGCCACGGUGAUGGAAUCAUUUCCGCCAAAUGUGACGUUCAUAAGAGAUUUAAUUGGACCCAGACUCCAAUCAUGGAAUAGCCUGCUCCAGCGGUUGUCCACGGUGCAACUGUCGCAUGAGUCUGAUGUAUUUCGAGGGAACCUACAUUGGAAUGAACAAUUCUCAGUGGAGUCUAUGUAUAGAGCGUUAAUCCAGUCUGAUGUGCUUGUCGACAAUAACAAGAAGGUCUGGAAGAUGAAGAUACCUCUUAAGAAUAAAAUCUUUUGCAUGGUAUCUUCGUUGCGGAGUUAUUCUUACUAA
rnacentral:rRNA from 1 species